GGCUUUUUGGAUUUUUGGAAAAAUACAAGUCUUUUGGCUUUUUCUAAAUUUUUUUGGGCUUUUUCAUGAAUUUUUAGGUUUUUUUGGAUUUUUGGCAUUUUUUGGAAAAUAUGGAAUAUUUUUGGUUUUUUCGAUUUUUCGGAAAAUAAAAUAUUUUUUAAAAUUUUUCAAAAUAUUUUUGGAAAAUAAAUUAUUUUUGAUUUUUCUCGAUUUUUUUUAGAAAAUAAAACAUUUUUCAACAUUCUUUUAAAUAUUUUUCGAUUUUCUGGAAAUUAAAACAUUUUUGAUUUUUUUUAAAAUAAAUUAUUUAUUUAUUAUUUAUUAGAAUAUUAUUUUAUAUUGAAAUAAUAAAACAAAACCGGCCCGAGUCGGAUCCGCGGGUUGUGUCUGACUCGGGCUAGCGACCCGAACGAGGACGGGCCCGCGUUGCGGGCCCGACUCGGAUUUUUUUUGGCUUUUUUUCUUUUAAUACAAGCCCGGCCCAAAAUUUUUAAUCAAAGCCCAAGGAACAAAAGGAGUCCCUAUCCGCGUGAGACCGGCCCACUUGCGUCCAAGCCCGCUUGGCCCAGACUGACCGGAACCCUACCCGGUCAAGAUCCACGCCCGAC
rnacentral:lncRNA from 1 species